AAUGCGGAAGAGAUAAGUGCUGAAAGCAUCUAAGCACGAAACUUGCCCCGAGAUGAGUUCUCCCUGAGACUUUAAGUCUCCUGAAGGAACGUUGAAGACGACGACGUUGAUAGGCCGGGUGUGUAAGCGCAGCGAUGCGUUGAGCUAACCGGUACUAAUGAACCGUGAGGCUUAACCUUACAACGCCGAAG
rnacentral:rRNA from 1 species